UCGUACGCUGUUUUUCGCACUGCGCCCCAAUUAACUGAACGCCUGGAAGAGGCUAAAAUAAACGCGACUUAGUGAAAAUUGCAAACACUGAUUCCUAGCUUGAAAAGCCAGUCUUUCCCAAUACCAAAAUUAGUUCCCACAAACCUCAAGCAAAUUGGCGCCGCAAAUAAUUAAAUUCCUGCAUAAAUUUCCUGCCUUGUUUAGGUUACCCUAACACCUAAAUGUAGCAUAUACAACGUAGUCCUUGAAAUUUGUUUCCCGUGAUUCCUGGUGAUUCCCUGGAUUAUUUAUCUCGUCCAAGCGUCGUUGAUAUAUUACGUUCGAUUCUGUUCUCGAUCACUUUGAUGAUCCGUGGAAAAUGAGUUUACAAGUUACAAAAUGGACGACAUUUUUCACGAAGGCUGGUAUACCAAGUGGUGCCGCGAACAAUUAUGCCGUGAUAUUUUAUGACCACAGAAUACAAGAGGACAUGCUGCCAGAUUUAACAAAGG